rnacentral:rRNA from 2 species
UCUGAUGGAGCAACGCCGCGUGAGCGAUGAAGGCCUUCGGGUCGUAAAGCUCUGUUGUUAGGGAAGAACAAGUGCGAGAGUAACUGCUCGCACCUUGACGGUACCUAACCAGAAAGCCACGGCUAACUACGUGCCAGCAGCCGCGGUAAUACGUAGGUGGCAAGCGUUGUCCGGAAUUAUUGGGCGUAAAGCGCGCGCAGGCGGUUUCUUAAGUCUGAUGUGAAAGCCCACGGCUCAACCGUGGAGGGUCAUUGGAAACUGGGAGACUUGAGUGCAGAAGAGGAGAGUGGAAUUCCACGUGUAGCGGUGAAAUGCGUAGAGAUGUGGAGGAACACCAGUGGCGAAGGCGACUCUCUGGUCUGUAACUGACGCUGAG